rnacentral:lncRNA from 1 species
UGAAGUCAGAGAUUGAUCAUGAUUUGAUGACCUUGAUUAAGAAGCAUGCUGCAAUAUGGAAGUACUUGUAUAAAUGGUCCCAGCUUUUCCCUCUCUGCUAGUAGUUCGGCCAAGUAUCUGCAGAGCAAGUGAUAACGAAAUCAACAUAUUGAAAGGCAGAGCAACAUUUAAUAAACAUGUUACAAGUAACAUUCAGAAUUUGACAAUCAUGGUAUCAGUUUUCAAGUAAUGGCAACUGUGCAACUCAAACGAACAAAGGACACACCAAGCUAAGUGCUAUUAGAUAAACGCAAUGGCUUGCUUCUAGGUACACAGUAACAUUAAAAUCACUUAAUAAGCUUACGAUCAAAACCAAAGAAGAAUAUACAAGAUCAUUAACAACUUGAAUAAAACUAGAAAAUCAUGAAAGCUGACUCUAAUCAAUUAACAUGAGGGAAAACGGGUGACAAAAUAUGUACUGCAGGAGACUUGAAGAGAUUAGAGACAAGAUUUAACUGCACUCCAAUGCUCAAGAAGGCAAAGAAGUGAGACCUUUAAAUCAUAACAUAAUAAAUCUUCUAGUGAAGGGAAAGCAACUACAACGAGAAGAAACAAGAAGGACUUCCCAUGCCAUUACCACACAGCUAGUUAGUCAUUUAUCUCCAAUGUCUGGUUUUCUCACUUGUGCAUCCAUACUUGCCAGGCAACACUGCAACAGCUAAAUCUCCUCUUCCCAAAUCCCAAAACCCAAUAACAUAGUAUGCCUCAUUAACCACCCCACAAUGAACAGUAACAUAAAGCCAGCACAAUUGUUGCACCAACUCCACCGACACAGCCGACAGGCCAUACCUAGGGGGUGGUCAUAGUAACAAGUAAAAGCAGUCUAAAUAUCAC